UAAGGGAGCUACCAUUUGAUUUUUAUGGGGGGGGCUAGGAUGAAAAAUUUUGUCCUGCAUUUUUUUUUAGCUGUAAUCUCUGUCCUGCCUUUUUAUUUUUCACUCUAAUCGGUCCUGCCUUUUUUUUUAGUUUAUCCUGACUUUUUUUUACCUAAAUUGUCGUCCUGACUUUUUUUUUUGCAAGUGUCACAUCCUGCCUUUUUUUUUUACUCAAAACUCCUGUCCUGCCUAUUUUUUUCAAAUUUCAUCCUACCCCCCCAUAAAAAUCAAAUGGUAGCUACCUAAG
rnacentral:lncRNA from 1 species